ensembl:lncRNA
AUGUUGGCCACUAGACCCUGCUCCUGGCUGGAGACAAACCCGCUCCUUGGCCACGUGACCAGCGCUGGGGAGGCUGAAUGCAGCUGGCUCUGUACGAUGCCACACAUGUUGGUAACAGCUUCACUCUUUCAUCCCCUUGCCCCAGUCUUCAAGUCAACAGAGGAAAUCCUUCUCAGGGACAACGACAAGAUCAAGCAGAGAAUCAUUCAGCUGACGGAGCUGCAGGAGAGCCUGGUGCCUGCACUUGCCGCGAAGGAAAAAGGUUUGAACUCUCCGUUAAACUCUUCCCACCCAGCACUGAGCUGGCAGCAGCCCCGCUCCCCUCUAUUUCUGUCCCCCCAGCCCGCCUCCUCCCAGUCCAGCUCCGCACUGCCCCGGCAUCCCCAUGCGCCACCUCCUAGGGGUGGGAGGCCGGGAGCGCAGUCCGGAGGCCCCAAAGGAGCAGUGCUGCCUGCACUAGUGACAGAUGGGAGACUCGGAGCUGGAGUUCCCAGACCAGUGCCGAGGGCUACAAGCCGGAACGCGUCUCCCCUGGCUCAAACCCGCCGGAUCCAAUUCGCAUCAAACUCCCCCCUGAAUCCUCGGCCCUCAGGAGCCCUCGCAACGCGCUCUGCAGGCUGGCGGGAGAGUCUCCCCCAAAGGCCACUCUUGGCUUUAGAGUGUCAACCAUCUGGGCCCCCCUAAUGAACCUCCCCUGUGAGGGAUGGCUUGCCCACCACAGGAAUGCAGCCACCUCUGGGAUGGGGCCCAGCAGCUGUUUAUCCCGGGAGCCCUGGCUCAGGAGGGAGAUGCAGCCACCUCUGGGGUGGGGCCCAGCAGCUGUUUAACAGGCACACGGCGCUUUAGGACAGGAAGUGCAGAAGCCUGUGUCCACGUGGAACGGCAAGAGGGCAGAUGUGGACUCACACAAUGUGAGAGCUGGCCGCAGAAGGGAGAAGCUAUGUUUGAUAAGGCAGAUUCGCUGCUGGUGUAAAUUGGGGUCACGGCAUUAUCAUCUGGGGCUUGAGCUUUAUGCCACACUGGGGUACACUGACUGGGAGGGGAGAGCGCCCCCUACUGAGCCCCCAUCCUGCUCCCUGCAGCACAGCGCCCCCUGGUGCCACACUGGGGCAUUGGGGCCGGCACUGACCGCGAGGGGAGAGCGCCCCCUACUGUCCCUUUUGGAUCCUGAAUCACAGCCUGUGAAUGGGACGUACUUUACUAGCCUAUUGGGGGGAGGGGGGGGCUGCAGGGGACGUCUCCGGCCAACUCCUGACCCUUGUCCCUUUCUCUCUAUGCCCCCCCCCCCCCCACUGUCUCUCUGCAGAGAAGAGAAUAUAGAGCCUUUCCACACGUGAAGGGCGAGCUGCCUGCUGAGGGAGCCGGGAGCCACCCCCCUCCGCGAUGGACAAACCCAGCGGGAGCCCCGGCCUGUUCCACCGCCCGGACCCGGAAUA